rnacentral:tRNA from 1 species
GUCAGAUGUGGCGUAGUGGUUUGAGUGUUGGACUAUAACUCUGGAGACCAGGGUUCAAUUUCCUGCUCAGCCA